GACGGAGGAUGCAAGCGUUAUCCGGAAUGAUUGGGCGUAAAGCGUCCGCAGGUGGCAGUUCAAGUCUGCUGUCAAAGACCGGGGCUUAACUUCGGAAAGGCAGUGGAAACUGAACAGCUAGAGUAUGGUAGGGGCAGAGGGAAUUCCUGGUGUAGCGGUGAAAUGCGCAGAUAUCAGGAGGAACACCAGCGGCGAAGGCGCCGCUCUGGGCCGUAACUGACGCUGAGGAGCGAAAGCAUGGGUAGCAAACAGG
rnacentral:rRNA from 1 species